rnacentral:rRNA from 1 species
UUGGGAGCUCUCCCAUAUGGUCGACCUGCAGGCGGCCGCGAAUUCACUAGUGAUUAGAGUUUGAUCAUGGCUCAGAACGAACGCUGGCGGCAUGCCUAACACAUGCAAGUCGAACGAUGCUUUCGGGCAUAGUGGCGCACGGGUGCGUAACGCGUGGGAAUCUGCCCUUAGGUUCGGAAUAACAGUUAGAAAUGACUGCUAAUACCGGAUGAUGUCGAUAAGACCAAAGAUUUAUCGCCUGAGGAUGAGCCCGCGUAGGAUUAGCUAGUUGGUGUGGUAAAGGCGCACCAAGGCGACGAUCCUUAGCUGGUCUGAGAGGAUGAUCAGCCACACUGGGACUGAGACACGGCCCAGACUCCUACGGGAGGCAGCAGUGGGGAAUAUUGGACAAUGGGCGCAAGCCUGAUCCAGCAAUGCCGCGUGAGUGAUGAAGGCCUUAGGGUUGUAAAGCUCUUUUACCCGGGAUGAUAAUGACAGUACCGGGAGAAUAAGCCCCGGCUAACUCCGUGCCAGCAGCCGCGGUAAUACGAAUCGAAUUCCCGCGGCCGCCAUGGCGGCCGGGAGCAUG